GGACGUAUAGCUCAGUGGUAGAGCAAUUGACUGCAGAUCAAUAGGUCGGUGGUUCAAAUCCGCCUGCGUCCU
rfam:Basidiobolus meristosporus CBS 931.73 K493scaffold_686, whole genome shotgun sequence.